UUUUUCUUGGUUUAACAUAAUUUAUGUUAUCAGUAUAUGAUGGACAAAAUGCCUCUAUAUAUGUGUUCACAUGAUAAACACCUUACCCGAGACUUACCUUUUAAAUGUCGUCUCUGAUUAUUCGCCAACCGUCGCUUAAACUCUCUGCUUGAUCUUUAUCUGUGAUACCUAUUAUGGGAUGGUUCUGUAGUUACCCUCUUUGUGCCUAUGGUCUGCUAUGAUGUGUAGCAAAGAUGGCGAAUCCAAUAUGACUAUGUGAUAUGAUGUAAUGGAUGAGGAAUGAAUGUUUUCCGAACAUAUGGUAUUUGUGAUUCUGAUUGCGGGAAAGAGUGUGUAUGGAAUAUGAGGAAUAGCUUAUGUGUAUAGUAUGGAAAUGAAAAAAGGAAUUAGUGAUGGAAGAAAUGGAUAGAUGUGUGUAUGUAUUCGAAUGAUGGAGGAUAAAAACUUUUUGGAUAGAAGCUAACUUUUCUUUUCUAUGUUCUGUGUUGGCUGCUUCUUAUAGCUGAUUGGAGUUAUUGCCAAAAUCACUUCAAUUGCUCAAUAUAAUAACAUUGAUUUUCACCAACGAAACUGCCCGUGACUGCUGUCAUUUUACUCUGAUUAUUCUCACUCAUUAAUUAAUAUUCAUGAUUGUGUUUUAAUAAGGAGAAACUGUUUAACUGUGAAUCAUGAUAACCAUUAUGAGUUGCCAAUUAUCCUUAAGGCUAACUCAAAUCAUAAAUGCUUGCAGGAAAUCAGUUUUGGAAAAUCCCUUGAGGGAUAUUGUUUAAGGAGGCAAAUAGUCCUAUCCCUCUCACAUAUGUUGAGCAAGAAUUCUAGCAUAAAUCAGCUGUGUAGAAGAGUAUUUGUUACCUCUGUGAGGAGUCUUAGGCAGAUACUUGGCGGAGUUUAAGCUUCUUCAACCUUUCCAUAUUUUGUUCCCAGUCCAAUUUUAUUUCAUGGACAUUGUACACUU